GGGGAUUUAGCUCAGUUGGUAGAGCAUCUGCUUUGCAAGCAGAGGGUCAGCGGUUCGAGUCCGCUAAUCUCC
rnacentral:tRNA from 1 species